AAGAAUCUUCCCCAGCAUCAGGAGGAAGGAGGGUCAAGUUGCCAAAAAUCUACCACGUGGGAGGAGCCGACCGCACUUGGAAAACUGCGACAUUCGGGUACCUCUCCCUGGUAUCCCUAGUGGUAUGUUCCUUUAAAAUCCAGGAGUGUAAUUUCCACACGCUUUUACUUUGAGGAAAAAAUGGGAACUGGUUUCAGAGAACGGUAACUCGUCCAAAUCAAGAGCCCAUCUUAUGAUUCGGAUCAUAUACAACCUUCCCCAUUCACGAAGACUUACUGAUCACCUGGCCUCUAGAAAACACAGUGGAGUUGGGGAGAGGAAUUUAUCGAGGGCUCCUUGUGUGCUGGUCACUAAGAGGUUUAAUGAAGUCUGAGACACUUUCAAUGCUCCUACAAAAAGUGGAUACGAUGGAAAGAUCCUGUCAUAAGAGAUGCAUCAUAGUAUGGAAUACUAAUCAGCCACUCAGAUUUAUACUUGUAGAGCACUCAGGAAACCAUUGAACGUCAUGAAGCUGGGCAAUUCUAUUAGCCUGCUUAAGUUAUGUCAGGCAGAAGCUUAUUACAACACUGCCCUAACCCAGCAAGAUGGGUGUUUUCUAAAAGUGUGAGUACUCCCUUCCUUUCAUUUUAAGUGUAGAAAAAGCAAUGACUACUCAAGAAGUCAUAAUCUCAGAAAUAAUCUUUUAUUUUCUGGAAGAUUCUGCAAUCACAGAAUUUUUUACUUAUAUUGUCUGUUUUAGCACUCAUUUUCUUGAAUUAUAUCUUCUUAGAAGGUCUUCCUCCCCUCUCCCUUUAGUCAUUCAUUCAUAUAACCAGUGUUCAUUGUAUGCUUACACUGUGCUUGGCUGUAGAGACUCUAUCAGUGAAAAAAAAGAAAAGACAGAAAUCCCUGUCCCUGUGAAGUAUACAUUCCAGUGGAAACAGACAAAAUGAAGGAAAAAAAAAAGUAAAUUAUAAAAACGUGAAUAAAAAUGAAAAGAUAAGUUAUAUGGUAUAUUAGAUCGUGAUGCAUAUCAUACAAAAGGAAGUCAAACAAGAGCAUAGGAAGUAUUGUUGGUGCAUGGAAGAAGAAAGAAAGGGAAGGCAGCAAAAUCACACCAGGCCUUGUGUAGGCCUGAGGACGAUUUUGUUUUUUACCCUGAGAAAUGGAAAGGCAUGGUGAGAUUUCAAGCAGCAAAGUAACAUCUGACUUAUAUUUUUAAAACUUCACUCUGAUUGCUCUAUGAAUAGUCCAAGAGGGCUAACUGAAUAAGAUAAUUAUAGGAUAAUAUACCAGAAUAAUGAUACAAAGAUAAUUGUAGAGAGACUACUUAAGGAAGCUAUUGGAGAACCCAAGUGAGAGAUGAUGGUGGCUUAGGCUAAGGUGAUAUUGGGGUAAGUGAUAAAAAGUGGUCAAAUUCUGGGAAUAUUUUGAUGGUAGAUCCAACAGGUUUUCCUAAUGGAUUGAGUGUGAGGUAUGAAAGAGGAGUUAAGGAUGAUAUAAAGGUUUCUGGCUAAGGCAAACUGUAAGCAUAAGGGGCUGUUGAUUGGAAUAGGGAUAACUGCAGUGGUAAUUGGGAAAUUGGUGCCCAAUCUGGGAUUUUUUUUCUUUUUUGAGGGGGAGAGAGAGAGAGGGAGAGAAGAGGGAGAGAGAGAGGGAAGGGCAGAAGGAAAGGAAUAGUAUUAUUCAGGGUUCAGUCUUACAACCCUGAGAUCAUGACCUGAGCUGAAAUCAAGAGUUGGACGCUUAACCAACUGAGCCAUCCAGGUGCCCCUGGGAUAUUUUAAUUUGAAGUGCUUAUUAUAUUAUCCAAAGAGGGUUUGGGGUAGGCAGCUGGGUAUGCAAACCCAAAGUUGAAGGAAGAGGUCCAAGCUGAAUAAAAAUAUAAUCACCAGCGUACAGAUGGUAUUUUUAACACCAUUGGACUUAGUAUGACCAAGGAGGAAGAGAGUAUAAAGAAGAAAAGACGAGGCCAGAGUCCUGAGUACUCUAAUGUUAAAGGUUGGGUUGAUGAAGAGGAUCCAGCAAUAAGAGAUGGAGAAUGAAUCUCCAUUGAUAAGAGGAAAGUUAGGAGAUUAAGGAGUCCUGAAAGCCAAGAAAUGGCCAAGUUUCAGAUGAAGAGAGGUAUCAACUGUGUCAAAUGCCACUAAUAGGUCAAGGAAAAUGAGGCCUGGUGAUUGCCCAGUAGAUACAGCAACAUAACGCAAGGUCAUUGGUAGCCUUGAUAAGAGACACAAGUAAGUCUCUGUGGAAUGUGGAGGGAAAAGCCUAAUUGGAGUAUUUUCAAGAAACAAUGGAAAGGAAGGGUUUGAGGACUAUGUGAAGUUUUGAUGCAAGGUGCACAGGAAAAUGGGGCAGUAGCUAGAGGGGUUGAGGUCAAGGAAGAGUUUUUCUUUAUGAUAACAUCAUACUUAUAUAUUGAUGGCAAUGAUCCAACAGGGAGGGAAAUUACUGAUAGCAGAGUAAAGAGGGGAGACUUGCUGGAGCCAUGUCCUUGAGGUAAAAAGGGAUGGAAUCUAGUGCACAAGUGGAAAGCUUUAGCUUUUAUAAAGCAGUAGACCGUUCAUCUAUGGCAACAGAAGCCAAAGCAGAGUUCUUGACCACAGACAUUGGUAGGUAGAUAUUUGUGAUGGUAGGAACUUGUAGAAAAUCUCUUCUAAUCUUUCUCCCUUCCUCCAGCCCAAUGCAUGUCCCUUAUCAUUUCUAGAACAGUCUUUCUAAAAUGCAAAUCUACUUAUGUAGCUCCCACUUACAAUUUUUUCACAUCCUCCCAUUAGUCACAGGAUAAAAUCUCAAAUAGCUAGUAUGGCAUACAAGGUUCGUUACGACCUGACACCUGCUGAACUGCCCAAGCCAUCUCUGCUGUGUUCCUGUGGGUACCUUCCACUGGCACCAUAGAUAACUACAGAAAUUCCCUAAAUGUCCCAAGCUCUCUGUCAGCGUUAUGCCUUUUCAUACAUUGCUUCACCUCCCUUCAAAGACUUUCCCCAGUUGAAACUCAUGUUCUACCUUGCCAAUUCUUAUUUGGCCUUCAAAAGGCUAUAACCUAUACUGGAUGAAUUCAUCGCCUCUCCUUCUUCUCCCAUGAUAUUUAUUAUAUUAUGGUCAUUUCAGUUGUUUUUCUUGCCUGUCCUCUUUCACAAUUUAGUGAAUUUUCUUCAUAGAUGAGGUCAUGUUCACCUCAGAACCAGGAGAGAGAACCUAAUACGUAAGUAGAUACUUGACAAAGAGAGUACUUUUCUGACUCCUGUCCCACUCCCAACCUCCAGAUUGGCACCAGGGACAGGAUUUUGUCUCAUCUGUGUAUUCCUGGUACGCAUUGUAUUGUAUGUAAUACAGUUCUCCAUACAAUAGGACGUUCAUAUUUCAGUUUUCUGUUCUCAGUCUGUACUUUCCUUGGGUGAUAACAUUCACUUCCAUGGCUUAAUUUCCGUAUGUAUGUUUAUGACUUUCGGAUCUAUCUGUCUUUGGCCCAGAUUUCUCUUCUGGCCUCCAGUCUUAUAUAGACAGCUGCUUACUAUAUCCACCAGGAUGUUUCACAGGCUCAAACUAAAUUAAUAAUCCUACCUUCAAGCCUACUUUUUCUUCUAUAAUCCCUAUCUCAGUGAGACAAUCGGUGUCCUUCCAGUUGCCUAGGAUGUAAAAUUAGGAAUUGACCUUGACUUUUCCCUCUCUUUCACCUGUUUCAAUGAGUCAUUAGAUCCUGGCAAUCCUGGCAUCAUAUCUAUAAUAUAAUAUCUCUGGAAUCCAUCAACUCUGUCAUUCCCACUGUCACUCUUAUUUCAAGCCUACUUACCCUCACUUAAAUUAUGCUGACUGGGCUCUCUGUAUAACUCCAGCCUUGCUCAUCCUUUGUUCUAUUCUCUGGUCUGUAAUCAGAGAGAUUUUUAUUCAAAAUGUUCCUUUAAGCAUUAACAUUAUAAUUAUUAUCAUCAUUCUUUGAUUUAGGACUAUUUUUCUUUCUUACGGAAAGGAACCUAAAAAAGAAAACAGUUUAUAUUUUUAACUAUUUAUAAUUCCAUCAUUUCAGCUAAAUUCUCAUUUUUGUAUAUUACUUUCUAAUCCUUGUCCAUUAUAUGCUUGCUAUAUGAAGCAUACAUAAUGGUUUUACCUAUAAUUUAGAAUCAACUGCACCUAAAUAAUUUUCCAUGCCUAAACUAAACAUUUAAAUCAGGUCAUGUGCAUAAUUUCAUACUUCUAAAAUGUCUUUAUAAUCAUCAUUUUAUGCAUAAUAUUUAUUAAACAAAAACAAUUAUUUGCUUGUAUAAUAUGAAUUAUGAUAAAUUCUACAAAAGAAAAGAAGAAGGUACUUUGAAAGAGGCUAAUAGACAGAGUCUAAUUUAGCUAGGGAGUUAGGGAAGUGUUCCAGGAAUUAAAAGAAUGCCCUCGAGACUAGCAGAGAGCAAAUCAGAGGAAGAGUUGCCUGAAUGAGAUUGGAGAGUCAGAGAACAGUCAUAUGAUGUGCAAAUGAAAGAAAUUGAAAUAUUUUGGGGCGCCUGGGUGGCACAGCGGUUAAGCGUCUGCCUUCGGCUCAGGGCGUGAUCCCGGCGUUGUGGGAUCGAGCCCCACGU